GACGAACGCUGGCGGCGUGCCUAAUACAUGCAAGUCGAGCGAAAAUUUUCUGGUGCUUGCACUAGAAAGACUUAGCGGCGAGCGGGUGAGAAACACGUAAAGAACCUGCCUCAUAGACAGGGACUACGAUAGGAAACGCUAGCUAAUAACGGAAAACAGUAUUUCUCGGAGGGGAGAGGAUUAAAAGUUGGUUAGGCUAACAAUAUGAGGUGGCUUUGCGGUGCAUUAGCUAGUUGGUGGGCUAAAGGCCCACCAAGUCGACGAUGCAUAGCCGACCCGAUAGGGUGAUCGCCCACCCUGGGGCUGAGACACGGCCCAUGCUCCUACGGUAGGCAGCAGUAGGGUAUGUUCCGCAGUGGGCGAAAGCCUUACGGAGCGGCGCCGCGUCAGUUAAGAAGGAUUUCCGUUCGUAAAGCCCUGUUGUUAGUUAAGAACCGAUUUGUAGUAACUAGACAUGUAAGUGACGGUACCCAAUCAGAAAGCCACGGCUAACUACGUG
rnacentral:rRNA from 1 species